UCUUGAAUGGUAGGGGGAGGAUAGAACUUCAGGGGAAGCACAGAACCUUUCCCUUUUAAAAUAUCGUCUGGGAGGAAAGAGAACAAAUGGACUUGAGAGAGAAGAGGAGCAAACGGCUUAGAGAGAGAAAAUGGAGAGUUGAAAAGCACCAUCAAGAAGUCACAAGGCCAGAGCAGAUAGAGAGAUCAAUCAAACUCAAGGAGACCGCAAAGAAGACUAGAAAGAGAGAACUGAGAGAUUCAGCCUUCAGUUACCCUCACUGUCCAGCUAAGUACAUGAAGCCCUUGCAUAUUUCCUAUUUUGAAAGCAUACAUAGCCUGCAAGGGGAAACCUUUGCUGGAAGCAGGAAAGUAAGGUAGGUUGUAUAAGAAAGGUAUAUUGAUGCAGGAGUAUGAAAUACCUAAGCCAUAUUAAGGUAGGUUGUAUAAGAAAGGUACAUUGAUAGGUUGUAUAAGAAAGGUAUAUUGAUGCAGGAGUAUGAAAUACUUAAGCCAUGUUAAGGUAGGUUGUAUAAGAAAGGUACAUUGAUGCAUGAGUAGGAAAUACUUAUUUGGGAGCAUUCAGGAAAGCCCAAAGAAAAUGCAUGGAAAGAAGUACUAGCUGAAACACAUGGUAUUAUUUUCAUGCUUUAUGUUAGUGUAAAAAGUAGACAGCUUUAUUUAUACCUUCCCAAAAUAUAUCACUAUACCUGCGCAUUUGGAUGUACUAGUUGAAAUACAAAUUAUUUA